rnacentral:rRNA from 1 species
UUGUUCUUUAAAUGAGGACUAGAAUCAACGGCAUCACGAGGAUCCCACUGUCUCCCCCCUCCAAUCAGUGAAACUGAUCUCCCCGUGAAGAAGCGGGGAUACAAAUAUAAGACGAGAAGACCCCAUGGAGCUUUAAACCCAACAGCACCCGUUUAUUUUCAUCCUCACAUAAGUUAGGUUAUGCCUGUUUGGUUUUAGGUUGGGGUGACCACGGAGUAUAAAACAACCUCCAUGAAAAAAGGACCAAAAAUCCUUAUUAGAGAAAGACAUUUCUAAAAUUAAUAAAUUAAUUUUUAAUGAUCCGAUAUUCGAUCAACGAACCAAGUUACCCUGGGGAUAACAGCGCAAUCCACUUCAAGAGCUCCUAUCGACAAGUGGGUUUACGACCUCG